AUUGUGUGAAUACAUAGCACAUUCGAGGUAGACGCAGAGAACUGAAACAUCUAAGUACCUGCAGGAAGAGAAAGAAAAUUCGAUUCCCUGAGUAGCGGCGAGCGAAACGGGAAAAGCCCAAACCAGCAAGCUUGCUUGUUGGGGUUGUAGGACUCCAAUAUGGUAGUUCUUUCAGAUAGUCGAAUGACUUGGAAAAGUCAGUCAAAGAGGGUAAAAACCCCGUAGACGAAAUGUGGAAGACACCUAGGAGGAUCCUGAGUACGGCGGAACACGAGAAAUUCCGUCGGAAUCCGGGAGGACCAUCUCCCAAGGCUAAAUACUCCCUAGUGACCGAUAGUGAACCAGUACCGUGAGGGAAAGGUGAAAAGCACCCCGGAAGGGGAGUGAAAUAGAACCUGAAACCGUGUGCCUACAACAAGUCAAAGCCCGUUAAUGGGUGAUGGCGUGCCUUUUGUAGAAUGAACCGGCGAGUUACGAUUGCAUGCGAGGUUAAGUUGAAGAGACGGAGCCGCAGCGAAAGCGAGUCUGAAUAGGGCGUUUGAGUAUGUAGUCGUAGACCCGAAACCAUGUGAUCUACCCAUGUCCAGGUUGAAGGUGCGGUAAAACGCACUGGAGGACCGAACCCACGUACGUUGAAAAGUGCGGGGAUGAGGUGUGGGUAGCGGAGAAAUUCCAAACGAACUUGGAGAUAGCUGGUUCUCUCCGAAAUAGCUUUAGGGCUAGCCUCGGAAUUGAGAAUGAUGGAGGUAGAGCACUGUUUGGACUAGGGGCCCAUCUCGGGUUACCGAAUUCAGAUAAACUCCGAAUGCCAUUCAUUCAUAUCCGGGAGUCAGACUGUGAGUGAUAAGAUCCAUAGUCGAAAGGGAAACAGCCCAGACCACCAGCUAAGGUCCCAAAAUAUAUGUUAAGUGGAAAAGGAUGUGGGGUUGCACAGACAACUAGGAUGUUGGCUUAGAAGCAGCCACCAUUUAAAGAGUGCGUAAUAGCUCACUAGUCGAGUGACCCUGCGCCGAAAAUGUACCGGGGCUAAACAUAUUACCGAAGCUGUGGAGUACACCUUUAGGUGUAUUGGUAGGAGAGCGUUCUAAGGGCGUUGAAGGCAGAUCGUGAGGACUGCUGGAGCGCUUAGAAGUGAGAAUGCCGGUAUGAGUAGCGAAAGACAGGUGAGAAUCCUGUCCACCGAAUGACUAAGGUUUCCUGGGGAAGGCUCGUCCGCCCAGGGUUAGUCGGGACCUAAGCCGAGGCCGACAGGCGUAGGCGAUGGAUAACAGGUUGAUAUUCCUGUACCCGUUGUUUUUGUUUGAGCAAUGGAGGGACGCAGGAGGCUAAGGAAUGCAGACGAUCGGAAAUGUCUGUCCAAGCAGUAAGUCUGAAGAGGAGUCAAAUGCUUCUUUUCUUAAGGACAAGCUGUGAUGGGGAGGGAAAUAAUAGUACCGAAGUUCCUGAUGUCACACUGCCGAGAAAAGCUUCUAGUGAGAAAACAGCGGCCCGUACCGCAAACCGACACAGGUAGUCGAGGAGAGAAUCCUAAGGUGAGCGAGAGAACUCUCGUUAAGGAACUCGGCAAAAUGACCCCGUAACUUCGGGAGAAGGGGUGCUGAUCAUACGAUCAGCCGCAGUGAAUAGGCCCAAGCGACUGUUUAUCAAAAACACAGGUCUCUGCAAAAUCGUAAGAUGAAGUAUAGGGGCUGACGCCUGCCCGGUGCUGGAAGGUUAAGAGGAGUGCUUAGCGCAAGCGAAGGUACGAAUUGAAGCCCCAGUAAACGGCGGCCGUAACUAUAACGGUCCUAAGGUAGCGAAAUUCCUUGUCGGGUAAGUUCCGACCCGCACGAAAGGCGUAACGAUUUGGGCACUGUCUCAACGAGAGACUCGGUGAAAUUUUAGUACCUGUGAAGAUGCAGGUUACCCGCGACAGGACGGAAAGACCCCAUGGAGCUUUACUGUAGUUUGAUAUUGAGUGUCUGUACCGCAUGUACAGGAUAGGUAGGAGCCGUAGAAAUCGGAACGCUAGUUUCGAUGGAGGCGCUGGUGGGAUACUACCC
rnacentral:rRNA from 1 species